rnacentral:RNase_P_RNA from 2 species
AUUGUACAUUUGAUGAUCGCCUAGUUUCUCUUGAGAGACUGGGAGGAAAGUCCGAGCUUCCCGACACCCUUUUCGAAGGGUGGGGAAAAAGGUAGUGGAUAACGUCCACCCUCUUUAUCUGUAAGGAUAUUGGGCGGGAAAGUGCCACAGAGACUAUACUAGCCCGCCGAUUCGGCGGACAAAAGGUGAAAAGUAGUUUGAUAUCAUUUACUCUCGAGAUAAAUGGUUACAAGCUUCGGCUCUCAGUGAUGAGAUGUCGUGGUAAACCCUACCUGAAGAAAGAGCAGCGUUACGAUUUAUCGUUUCGAAAAGUUGGCUCGUUUGAAUCGGUGAGCAAUUACCGAUCUAGAUAAAUGAUCAUCGUCUCGAUUCGUCGAGAUUACAGAAUUCGGCUUAUAAAUGUAGAAUGAAC